rnacentral:rRNA from 1 species
CCUACGGGUGGCAGCAGUGAGGAAUAUUGGUCAAUGGACGAGAGUCUGAACCAGCCAAGUAGCGUGAAGGAUGACUGCCCUAUGGGUUGUAAACUUCUUUUAUAUGGGAAUAAAAUGUUCCACGUGUGGGAUUUUGUAUGUACCAUAUGAAUAAGGAUCGGCUAACUCCGUGCCAGCAGCCGCGGUAAUACGGAGGAUCCGAGCGUUAUUCGGAUUUAUUGGGUUUAAAGGGAGCGUAGGUGGAUUGUUAAGUCAGUUGUGAAAGUUUGCGGCUCAACCGUAAAAUUGCAGUUGAAACUGGCAGUCUUGAGUACAGUAGAGGUGAGCGGAAUUCGUGGUGUAGCGGUGAAAUGCUUAGAUAUCACGAAGAACUCCGAUUGCGAAGGCAGUUCACUGGACUGCAACUGACACUGAGGCUCGAAAGUGUGGGUAUCAAACAGGAUUAGAUACCCCAGUAGUC